rnacentral:rRNA from 1 species
AGAGUUUGAUCAUGGCUCAGAGUGAACGCUGGCGGCAGGCCUAAUACAUGCAAGUCGAACGGCAGCACAGCAGAGCUUGCUCUGUGGGUGGCGAGUGGCGGACGGGUGAGGAAUACGUGGGAAUCUGCCCAGUCGUGGGGAUAACGUAGGGAAACUUACGCUAAUACCGCAUGCGCCCUUCGGGGGAAAGCCGGGGGACCCUUCGGGCCUGGCGCGAUUGGAUGAGCCCACGUCGGAUUAGCUAGUUGGCGGGUAAAGGCCCACCAAGGCGACGAUCCGUAGCUGGUCUGAGAGGAUGAUCAGCCACACUGGAACUGAGACACGGUCCAGACUCCUACGGGAGGCAGCAGUAGGGAAUAUUGGACAAUGGGCGCAAGCCUGAUCCAGCCAUGCCGCGUGAGUGAAGAAGGCCCUCGGGUUGUAAAGCUCUUUUGUCCGGAAAGAAAAGCGCCGGGUUAAUACCCUGGUGUCCUGACGGUACCGGAAGAAUAAGCACCGGCUAACUUCGUG